rnacentral:rRNA from 1 species
GGCUCAGGAUGAACGCUAGCGGCAGGCCUAACACAUGCAAGUCGAGGGGUAGAGGAAGCUUGCUUCCUUGAGACCGGCGCACGGGUGCGUAACGCGUAUGCAACCUACCUUUACAGGGGAAUAGCCCAGAGAAAUUUGGAUUAAUGCCCCAUGGUAUAAUCGGAUGGCAUCAUUUGAUUAUUAAAGUUCCAACGGUAAAAGAUGGGCAUGCGUCCUAUUAGCUAGAUGGUAAGGUAACGGCUUACCAUGGCUACGAUGGGUAGGGGUCCUGAGAGGGAGAUCCCCCACACUGGUACUGAGACACGGACCAGACUCCUACGGGAGGCAGCAGUGAGGAAUAUUGGACAAUGGGCGCAAGCCUGAUCCAGCCAUGCCGCGUGCAGGAUGACGGUCCUAUGGAUUGUAAACUGCUUUGUACAGGAAGAAACACUCCCUCGUGAGGGAGCUUGACGGUGCUGUAAGAAUAAGGAUCGGCUAACUCCGUG